GGGGGUAUAGCUCAGUGGUAGAGCCUUCGACUGCAGAUCGAGUGGCCCCCGUUUCAAACCCAGGUGUUCUCU